rnacentral:rRNA from 1 species
CGACCGCGACCCCAGGUCAGACGGGACUACCCGCUGAGUUUAAGCAUAUCAAUAAGCGGUGAAGAAGA